rnacentral:lncRNA from 1 species
ACUUAAUUGUGUCGAUCGACAUCAACCAUCAGCGGGAAGGUAUAUCGUUUUACCUUGUUACAUAGUGUACUUAUGAUUUAUUUCUCACCAACCUUCGAACAGAUACACACUGGGGACGGUGUAAUUUAAUUUUGGGAGGAGGUUUACUGAUAUCUAGUUUACUUUAUGAGUUUUACAAAAUGUUUUUCAAGAAAAAUUUUAUUGAGUCAAGAAGGGGAUAAUGAACUUUACAAUUUCACUUAUUA